rnacentral:rRNA from 1 species
AUUGAACGCUGGCGGCAGGCUUAACACAUGCAAGUCGAACGAUGAUUAUCUAGCUUGCUAGAUAUGAUUAGUGGCGGACGGGUGAGUAACAUUUAGGAAUCUGCCUAGUAGUGGGGGAUAGCUCGGGGAAACUCGAAUUAAUACCGCAUACGACCUACGGGUGAAAGGGGGCGCAAGCUCUUGCUACUAGAUGAGCCUAAAUCAGAUUAGCUAGUUGGUGGGGUAAAGGCCCACCAAGGCGACGAUCUGUAACUGGUCUGAGAGGAUGAUCAGUCACACCGGAACUGAGACACGGUCCGGACUCCUACGGGAGGCAGCAGUGGGGAAUAUUGGACAAUGGGGGCAACCCUGAUCCAGCCAUGCCGCGUGUGUGAAGAAGGCCUUUUGGUUGUAAAGCACUUUAAGCAGGGAGGAGAGGCUAAUGGUUAAUACCCAUUAGAUUAGACGUUACCUGCAGAAUAAGCACCGGCUAACUCUGUGCCAGCAGCCGCGGUAAUACAGAGGGUGCGAGCGUUAAUCGGAAUUACUGGGCGUAAAGCGAGUGUAGGUGGCUCAUUAAGUCACAUGUGAAAUCCCCGGGCUUAACCUGGGAACUGCAUGUGAUACUGGUGGUGCUAGAAUAUGUGAGAGGGAAGUAGAAUUCCAGGUGUAGCGGUGAAAUGCGUAGAGAUCUGGAGGAAUACCGAUGGCGAAGGCAGCUUCCUGGCAUAAUAUUGACACUGAGAUUCGAAAGCGUGGGUAGCAAACAGGAUUAGAUACCCUGGUAGUCCACGCCGUAAACGAUGUCUACUAGCCGUUGGGGUCCUUGAGACUUUAGUGGCGCAGUUAACGCGAUAAGUAGACCGCCUGGGGAGUACGGCCGCAAGGUUAAAACUCAAAUGAAUUGACGGGGGCCCGCACAAGCGGUGGAGCAUGUGGUUUAAUUCGAUGCAACGCGAAGAACCUUACCUGGUCUUGACAUAGUGAGAAUCCUGUAGAGAUGCGGGAGUGCCUUCGGGAAUUCACAUACAGGUGCUGCAUGGCUGUCGUCAGCUCGUGUCGUGAGAUGUUGGGUUAAGUCCCGCAACGAGCGCAACCCUUUUCCUUAUUUGCCAGCGGGUUAAGCCGGGAACUUUAAGGAUACUGCCAGUGACAAACUGGAGGAAGGCGGGGACGACGUCAAGUCAUCAUGGCCCUUACGACCAGGGCUACACACGUGCUACAAUGGUAGGUACAGAGGGUUGCUACACAGCGAUGUGAUGCUAAUCUCAAAAAGCCUAUCGUAGUCCGGAUUGGAGUCUGCAACUCGACUCCAUGAAGUCGGAAUCGCUAGUAAUCGCAGAUCAGAAUGCUGCGGUGAAUACGUUCCCGGGCCU